GGAGUUGUAGCUCAGUGGUAGAGUGCUUCCCUAGAACGUAUGAGGCACUGGGUUUGAUUCUCAGCACUGCA
rnacentral:tRNA from 1 species